GGGGUUCUGCUGUUUGCUUUGGAAUGAACACCAUGCUGCAAUGUGGCAAAUGUAUCUCGGCAUGGGACCAACUUGCUUCCUUUGGAGUAGAAAGGAAUACCAUGUUUCUGUCGGUUUAUAAAACCAGAACAUACUCAGUCUUGCACUUCCCAGCAUGGUGCCACCCACCAGGCAUUUUCUGCAGAUGUUCAAGUCGUUGUACAUGGAAUAACUCCUUAUUGUUUGAGGACAACCCCCCUACAAAAACAAAACAAAACAAAACAAAAAAGCAAAAAAAUGACAUCAUUUUAAGUGGCUGCUUCUAAUUAUAUUGUUAGUUUCUUGGUUAAAACAAGCAUAAACCAUGAGAGGGAAUGAAUCCAUCAGACCACCACAUAUGGGAAU
rnacentral:lncRNA from 1 species